rnacentral:rRNA from 1 species
CCUACGGGGGGCUGCAGUGAGGAAUAUUGGUCAAUGGACGCAAGUCUGAACCAGCCAUGCCGCGUGCAGGAAGACGGCUCUAUGAGUUGUAACCUGCUUUUGUACGAGGGUAAACGCAGAUACGCGUAUCUGUCUGAAAGUAUCGUACGAAUACGGAUCGGCUAACUCCGUGCCAGCAACCGCGGUAAUACGGAGGAUUCAAGCGUUAUCCGGUUUUUUUGGGUUUUAAGGGGUGCGUAGGCGGUCGGAGAAGUUAGAGGUGAAAUCCCGGGGCUCAACUUCGGAAUUGCCUCUGAUACUGUGUGGCUAGAGAGUAGUUGCGGUAGGCGGAAUGUAUGGGGUAGCGGUGAAAUGCUUAGAGAUCAUACAGAACACCGAUUGCGAAGGCAGCUUACCAAGCUACUUCUGACGUUGAGGCACGAAAGCGUGGGGAGCAAACAGGAUUAGAUACCCUGGUAGUC